GCUCGCUUUGGCAGCACAUACUAAAAUUGGAACGAUACAGAGAAGAUUGGCAUGGCCCCUGCACAAGGAUGGCACGCAAAUUUGUGAAGCAUUCCAUAUUUUA